rnacentral:rRNA from 1 species
UACGUAGGGGGCAAGCGUUGUCCGGAUUCAUUGGGCGUAAAGAGCGUGUAGGCGGCCAGGUAGGUCGGUUGUGAAAACUGGAGGCUCAACCUUCAGAGGUCGACCGAAACCAUCUGGCUAGAGUCCGGGAGAGGAGAGUGGAAUUCCCAGUGUAGCGGUGAAAUGCGUAGAUAUUGGGAGGAACACCAGUGGCGAAGGCGGCUCACUGGACCGGAACUGACGCUGAGGCGCGAAAGCGUGGGGAGCAAACGGG